rnacentral:snoRNA from 1 species
GGUGGCAAGUGAUGAAAAUUAUUUAUAUGCUAAACACUGAAUAAUAUAAUAUGUGUGGACAAAAAACUCCGCUUAUUUUCUGAUGCCACC